rnacentral:rRNA from 1 species
GGAUUGCCCCAGUAACGGCGAGUGAAGCGGCAAGAGCUCAAAUUUGAAAGCUGGCCCCCUCGGGGUCCGCAUUGUAAUUUGCAGAGGAUGCUUCGGGAGUGGCCCCCAUCUAAGUGCUCUGGAACGGGCCGUCAUAGAGGGUGAGAAUCCCGUAUGGGAUGGGGUGUCCGCGACCAUGUGAAGCUCCUUCGACGAGUCGAGUUGUUUGGGAAUGCAGCUCUAAAUGGGUGGUAAAUUUUCAUCUAAAGCUAAAUAUUGGCCCGGAGACCGAUAGCGCACAAGUAGAGUGAUCGAAAGAUGAAAAGCACUUUGAAAAGAGAGUUAAAAAGCACGUGAAAUUGUUGAAAGGGAAGCGCUUGCGACCAGACUCGCCUACGGGGUUCAGCCGGUAUUCGUACCGGUGUACUUCCCCGUGGGCGGGCCAGCGUCGGUUUGGGCGGCCGGUCAAAGGCCCUCGGAAUGUAACGCCUCUCGGGGCGUCUUAUAGCCGAGGGUGCCAUGCGGCCAGCCCGGACCGAGGAACGCGCUUCGGCACGGACGCUGGCAUAAUGGUCGUAAGCGACCCGUCUUGAUACACGGACCCAAGGAGUCUAACAUCUUACGCGAGUGUUCGGGUGUCAAACCCGUGCGCGCAGUGAAAGCGAACGGAGGUGGGAACCCUCACGGGUGCACCAUCGACCGAUCCUGAUGUCUUCGGAUGGAUUUGAGUAAGAGCGUAGCUGUUGGGACCCGAAAGAUGGUGAACUAUGCCUGAAUAGGGCGAAGCCAGAGGAAACUCUGGUGGAGGCUCGCAGCGGUUCUGACGUGCAAAUCGAUCGUCAAAUUUGGGUAUAGGGGCGAAAGA